rnacentral:sRNA from 1 species
GAAGUCCUGUCUUCUGGGAUUGAGUUUGGUAAUCCACCCCUUGGAGCUAAACACAGUAAGAGGAGCCCACCCUUUACUUACUAUACAGAGAAGAGUAAAACACAGUCACCUUUCCACAGCAUCUGAGUGGACCUAACACAGGGCAGUGAAAGUGAUGCAGAACAAACUUCAAAGCCUCCAGGAGCACACGUGACCUCAGGAAAUGAACAGAAACAACCUAGCUCUCCGAAGAGGAGUAUUUCAUUCAACUCCGAACUGCUCACACAUGCAACUGUGAACAAGGCUCAUUUAAAAAUCCAUGAAGCUUCUAAUGUUUUCACCACAAAAUAUAUUCAGUAUUGAGGUGCUGGAUAUGUUGACUAGUUUGAUUUAAUUAUUCCACAUUAUAUGCAUAAAUAGUAACAUCACCUUUUUCCCCAUAAAAUUAUACAAUUAUAAAUUGUCACUUUGCAAUUAAAACAAUAAAAUCCA